rnacentral:rRNA from 1 species
AGAGUUUGAUCCUGGCUCAGGAUGAACGCUGGCGGCGUGCCUUAAGCAUGCAAGUCGAACGGAAAUUUGUCGCAAGAUGAAAAUCAGUGGCGGACGGGUGAGUAUAAGUAAGGAACGUACCCUAAACUAUCGCAUAGCUCGUCGAAAGACGGGGUAAUACGGUAUGUGAUCGCAAGAUUAAAGAGCGUAACAACUCGGUUUUGGAGCGGCCUUAUAUCUAUCAGCUAGUUGGUGGGGUAAAAGCCUACCAAGGCUACGACGGAUAGGGGGUGUGAGAGCACGACCCCCCACAAUGGCACUGAGACACGGGCCAUACAUCUACGGAUGGCAGCAACUGGGAAUAUUCGGCAAUGGACGAAAGUCUGACCGAGCGACGCCGCGUGAGGGAUGAAGGUUUUCGGAUCGUAAACCUCUUUUGCCAAGCAGUCGAUGCUUGGAGAAUAAGCACCUACAAACUACGUGACCCCGGGAAGGGGUUUGGUGCGUAGUCAUACAGUAAUGUAAUGAAAAAAAAUCUCGCUAUAUGCUGGAACACCUUGAUAUACCGCGAAUUAUCCCCGCUUGGCGGGGCAUGUAUCAAGACAAUCAGCAGGCAACCCCCGCCUUCAAUUUAAUUUUGAAGGGUUGGCGGGGAGAGUCCUCAGAGACUACACGCGAGACUCCAUCAAAGUGAUGGAUGAUGAUAUAGUCCAAAGUUUUGCACAGCAGUAUUACAUGUGCAAGGCCAGCAGUCGCGGUAAUACGUAGGGUGCAAGCGUUAUCCGGAUUCACUGGGCGUAAAGUGUCGUGUAGGCGGUAUACCGCAUCGUGUCUGAAAGCCCGAGGCUUAACCUCGGCGUUGGACACGAGAUGGGUAAACUUAGAGGAAUGGAGAGGAAAGGGGAACUCAUGGUGAAGCAGUGAAAUGCGUUGAUAUCAUGAGGAACACCGAAGGCGAAGGCACCUUUCUGGCCAUUAACUGACGCUGAGACACGAAAGCUAGGGGAGCGAAGCAGAUUAGAGACCUGCGUAGUCCUAGCCCUAAACGCAUGUCUGCUAGAUGCCCUGCCGCAAGGUGGGGUGUCGUAAGCUAACGCGUUAAGCAGACCGCCUGGGGACUACGAGCGCAAGCUUAAAACUCAAAGGAAUUGACGGGGACCCGCACAACCAGUGGAGCGUGUGGUUCAAUUCGAGACAAAGCGAAGGACCUCACCAGGGUUUGACAUGUUACCGUUUUAACCACCCAGAAAUGGGAGGCUAUCCGCAAGGAUGGUAGCACAGCUGCUGCAUGGCUGUCGUCAGCUCGUGCCGUGGGGUGUUCCCUUAAGUGGGACAACGAGCGCAACCCCUAUCCGAUGUUACAAGUGUCAUCGGAGACCGCCCCCUCUCAAAGCGCGUAGCGCGUGAGAACUAUUAACAAUUAACAGUUAACAAUUGACCUGAGAAAUUCUGGUUAAAAGUUAAUUGUAAACUGUUAACUGUUCAAAAUGCAUGCGCAUUUUGAGAGGGGGAGGAAGGAGGGGACGACGUCAAGUCAGCACGGCGCUUAUGCCCUGGGCCACACACACCCUACAAUGGCGAACAACAACGGGACGCAAGGUAGUAAUGCCAAGCAAAUCUCUGAAAUUUCGCCUCAAUUCAGAUUGAGGUCUGCAACUCGACCUCAUGAAGUUGGAAUUGGUAGUAAUCGCGGAUCAGCAGGCCGCGGUGAAUACGUUCUCGGGUCUUGUACACACCGCCCGUCAAGCCACCAAAGUUGAAGGUACCCGAAUCCCGAUUUAUCGGGAGAAGGUAAAUUUAGCGAUGGGGACUAAGUCGUAACAAGGUAUCCCUAGCCGAAGCUGGGGAUG